AGAGUAAGAAUCGAUGCGUAAAGUGUCUGCCGGACGGGGAGUUGGCGGUGGAACGAAAAGCAUUGCUCGGGGCGUUGUUCGGAGCAUUGCUUGCGGUAUCGGUUCUGCAUCCCGCU
rnacentral:ncRNA from 1 species